rnacentral:rRNA from 1 species
UACGUAGGGUGCAAGCGUUAAUCGGAAUUACUGGGCGUAAAGCGUGCGCAGGCGGUUAUGUAAGACAGAUGUGAAAUGCCCGGGCUUAACCUGGGAACUGCAUUUGUGACUGCAUGGUUAGAGUUUGGCAGAGGGGGGUAGAAUUCCACGUGUAGCAGUGAAAUGCGUAGAUAUGUGGAGGAACACCGAUGGCGAAGGCAGCCCCCUGGGUCAAGACUGACGCUCAUGCACGAAAGCGUGGGGAGCAAACAGG